GGCUCAGGAUGAACGCUGGCGGCGUGCUUAACACAUGCAAGUCGAACGAAGCACUCUAUUUGAUUUCUUCGGAAUGAUUAUUUGUGACUGAGUGGCGGACGGGUGAGUAACGCGUGGGUAACCUGCCUCAUACAGGGGGAUAACAGUUGGAAACGACUGCUAAUACCGCAUAAGCGCACAGUGUCGCAUGACACAGUGUGAAAAACUCCGGUGGUACAAGAUGGACCCGCGUCUGAUUAGCUAGUUGGUGAGGUAACGGCCCACCAAGGCAACGAUCAGUAGCCGGCCUGAGAGGGUGAACGGCCACAUUGGGACUGAGACACGGCCCAAACUCCUACGGGAGGCAGCAGUGGGGAAUAUUGCACAAUGGGGGAAACCCUGAUGCAGCGACGCCGCGUGAGUGAAGAAGUAUUUCGGUAUGUAAAGCUCUAUCAGCAGGGAAGAAAAUGACGGUACCUGACUAAGAAGCUCCGGCUAAAUACGUG
rnacentral:rRNA from 1 species